rnacentral:rRNA from 1 species
AUUGAACGCUGGCGGCAGGCCUAACACAUGCAAGUCGAAUGGUAACAGGAAACAGCUUGCUGUUUCGCUGACGAGUGGCGGACGGGUGAGUAAUGUCUGGGAAACUGCCUGAUGGAGGGGGAUAACUACUGGAAACGGUAGCUAAUACCGCAUAACGUCGCAAGACCAAAGAGGGGGACCUUCGGGCCUCUUGCCAUCAGAUGUGCCCAGAUGGGAUUAGCUAGUAGGUGGGAUAACGGCUCACCCAGGCGACGAUCCCUAGCUGGUCUGAGAGGAUGACCAGCCACACUGGAACUGACACACGGUCCAGACUCCUACGGGAGGCAGCAGUGGGGAAUAUUGCACAAUGGGCGCAAGCCUGAUGCAGCCAUGCCGCGUGUAUGAAGAAGGCCUUCGGGUUGUAAAGUACUUUCAGCGGGGAGGAAGGGAGUAAAGUUAAUACCUUUGCUCAUUGACGUUACCCGCAGAAGAAGCACCGGCUAACUCCGUG